rnacentral:rRNA from 1 species
CCUACGGGUGGCAGCAGUGAGGAAUAUUGGUCAAUGGGCGUAAGCCUGAACCAGCAAAGCCGCGUGAGGGAUGAAGGUUCUCUGGAUCGUAAACCUCUUUUAUAAGGGAAUAAAGUGUGGCACGUGUCCUCUUUUGUAUGUACCUUAUGAAUAAGGAUAGGCCAACUCCGCGCCAGCAGCCGCGGUAAUACGGAGGAUCCGAGCGUUAUCCGGAUUUAUUGGGUUUAAAGGGUGUGUAGGCGGCCUUUUAAGUCAGCGGUGAAAGUCUGUGGCUCAACCAUAGAAUUGCUGUUGAUACUGGGGGGCUUGAGUGUGUUAGAGGCAGGCGGAAUGCGUGGUGUAGCGGUGAAAUGCGUAGAUAUCACGCAGAACACCGAUGGCGAAGGCAGCCUGCCGGGCCGUGACUGACGCUGAGGCACGAAAGCGUGGGGAUCAAACAGGAUUAGAUACCCUUGUAGUC